ACGCACAAUCGCACAAAGGUUAAAACAGCGUAAAUUGGCUCAAAACGUCCAUUCAGAUUUCGGUUAUCCUUUAUAUGAUUCUAAAACGUAUAUCCGACUGAAAUGUAAGAGUAUUGUUUUUCUGUGUUAAUUAGAAAUGCAUAGGUACGUUUAACACAGGAUCGUCGCGUCGUGGUCGUUACAACAAUGUAUCUCGUCCCGGUAGAUUUUUCGAUUGUGUUUUUUUCUGUUCCUAUAUAGAUCCAAUCGCGGGAUACGCGAUAUCGAGAAGAAAAUCGUAUACAUUU